rnacentral:rRNA from 1 species
GCUAGCCGUAAAUUCAAGCAAAUUCCCACUAAUUUGCCCGCCAGAAAAGUAAACGCGAAAGCACGAAAUUCAAAGGACUUGACGGUGUUCCAUAUCAACCUAGAGGAGCCUGUCCUAUAACCGAUGAUCCACGUUAAACCUUACCCACCUUAGCCAAUCAGCCUAUAUACCGCCGUCUCCAGCCCAUACAAUGAUGUAUUCAAAAUGGGCACAUAUUGCCAAUUUAGCAAAAACGUCAGGUCAAGGUGUAGCUAAUAGGUGGGUUGAGAUGGGCUACAUUUUUUAGUUUAAAAAAUACCAUAAGUAAUAUGAAAUACAGACCAUAAAGGUGGAUUUAGUAGUAAAUUUGUGCAAGGUAUGCCAUAUUGAAACAAGCCCUGGAACGCGUACAC